rnacentral:rRNA from 1 species
GAUGAACGCUGGCGGCGUGCCUAAUACAUGCAAGUCGAGCGAACAGACGAGGAGCUUGCUCCUCUGACGUUAGCGGCGGACGGGUGAGUAACACGUGGAUAACCUACCUAUAAGACUGGGAUAACUUCGGGAAACCGGAGCUAAUACCGGAUAAUAUAUUGAGCCGCAUGGUUCAAUAGUGAAAGACGGUUUUGCUGUCACUUAUAGAUGGAUCCGCGCCGCGUUAGCUAGUUGGUAAGGUAACGGCUUACCAAGGCAACGAUGCGUAGCCGACCUGAGAGGGUGAUCGGCCACACUGGAACUGAGACACGGUCCAGACUCCUACGGGAGGCAGCAGUAGGGAAUCUUCCGCAAUGGGCGAAAGCCUGACGGAGCAACGCCGCGUGAGUGAUGGAGGUCUUCGGAUCGUAAAACUCUGUUAUUAGGGAAGAACAAAUGUGUAAGUAACUAUGCACGUCUUGACGGUACCUAAUCAGAAAGCCACGGCUAACUACGUG